rnacentral:rRNA from 1 species
UAAUAGUGUAUAUUAAAGUUGUUGCAGUUAAAAAGCUCGUAGUUGAAUGUUGGUGUCGAACGAGCGGUCAGCUUCGGCUGUACUGCUCUCUCGACUCCUUCCUUCUGUGGACUACGUCGCACUUUAUUGUGUGGCGCUAGGACGCAGAUCGUUUACUGUGAAAAAAUUAGAGUGUUCAAAGCAGGCCGUACGCUUGAAUACAUUAGCAUGGAAUAAUGGAAUAGGACGUCGGGCCUAUUUUGUUGGUUCUAGGACCGUCGUAAUGAUUAAUAGGGACAGUUGGGGCCGUUUAUAUUCCGUAGUCAGAGGUGAAAUUCUUGGAUUUACGGAAGAUAAACUACUGCGAAAGCAUUCGGCAAGGAUGUUUUCGUUAA